AGAACGAACGCUGGCGGCAUGCCUAACACAUGCAAGUCGAACGAGACCUUCGGGUCUAGUGGCGCACGGGUGCGUAACGCGUGGGAAUCUGCCCUUGGGUUCGGAAUAACAGCGAGAAAUUGCUGCUAAUACCGGAUGAUGACGUAAGUCCAAAGAUUUAUCGCCCAAGGAUGAGCCCGCGUAGGAUUAGCUUGUUGGUGAGGUAAGAGCUCACCAAGGCGACGAUCCUUAGCUGGUCUGAGAGGAUGAUCAGCCACACUGGGACUGAGACACGGCCCAGACUCCUACGGGAGGCAGCAGUGGGGAAUAUGGACAAUGGGCGAAAGCCUGAUCCAGCAAUGCCGCGUGAGUGAUGAAGGCCUUAGGGUUGUAAAGCUCUUUUACCCGGGAUGAUAAUGACAGUACCGGAGAAUAAGCUCCGGCUAACUCCGUGUCAGCAGCCGC
rnacentral:rRNA from 1 species